GACGAACGCUGGCGGCGUGCUUAACACAUGCAAGUCGAACGGUGAAGGGAUCAGCUUGCUGGUUCUGGCUGAGCGGCGAACGGGUGAGUAACGCGUGAGUAACCUGCCCCCUUCUCCUGGAUAACCGCAUGAAAGUGUGGCUAAUACGGGAUAUUCUGCGCCUGCUGCAUGGUGGGUGUGGGAAAGAUAUUGUUUCGGUGGGGGAUGGGCUCGCGGCCUAUCAGCUUGUUGGUGGGGUGAUGGCCUACCAAGGCGGUGACGGGUAGCCGGCCUGAGAGGGUGGACGGUCACACUGGGACUGAGACACGGCCCAGACUCGUACGGGAGGCAGCGGUGGGGAAGAUUGCGCAAUGAGCGCAAGCCUGAUGCAGCGACGCCGCGUGAGAGAGGGAGGCCUUCGGGUUGUGAACCUCUUUCGCAAGUGAAGCAGGCCUGUCCCCUGUGGGUGGGUUGACGGUAGCUGAAUAAGAAGCGCCGGCUAACUACGUG
rnacentral:rRNA from 1 species